rnacentral:lncRNA from 1 species
ACUGUUGGCAGCAGGUAGAGAGAUCUUUUUUUCCUCUUCAAAACACAAGGAAAUGCGGGCAGGGUAGAGCUCGGCAGAGGGUUCGAGAAUAGGGUAGGGUCCUGUCCUUAAGAUUCAGAUAAGAAAAGAGUUCCAAACCUUUAUGCAUGCACCUCCGUACAAGUGCUGCAUACAAGUUCCGGCCAGGAUGAUUGAGAAAGAUUCAACCAAUUUGAACCGCUCACAUCACAAUAGUAGUAGCGUAAAGGCCGUAAGUCGGGGGGCGGCCAUAACAUAAGGCUAUUACUUUCACACCUCUCUAUCUAUAGAUAGAGAGAGAUCCGCUGCGUGAGCAACCCGACUGUGCCUUACAUGUGCUCUACAGGCCGCACGUAAUCUUUCUUCCCAACGAGCCCUUUUUUUUAUUUGGAAGACGGGCAUUGCGUUCGGUUCGAAAGGCAUGGUUUUCAGUAU